rnacentral:lncRNA from 1 species
CCAAAGGCAAAAGUCUGUUCUUUUACCUGUCAUGUAAAGGAAUGAGAUAUGGAAUGAAGAGUCCCUCUUUCUAUAACUGCCAUGAGUCCAUGUCCUGUAUUGGCAGAGCUCGGUGUGUACAUCAGAUGUCGCUGGAAGGAACAAAGAAAAGGAAAAUGAAGGGAAGCUCCACACUGCAGAGAAGUUUAUUUAACAGAUUGCUGAGCACUAGGCUGUUAAGUGAAAAACAGGAUUACUUGUGA